GCUCAAAUUUAAAAUCUGGUGGCCCUUCCGCCAUCCGAGUUGUAAUUUAGAGAAGCGUCUUCCGCGCUGGACCAUGCAUAAGUCUCCUGGAAUGGAGCGUCAUAGAGGGUGAGAAUCCCGUCUUUGGCAUGGACCCCCAGGGCUUCUGCGAUGCGCUCUCGAAGAGUCGAGUUGUUUGGGAAUGCAGCUCAAAAUGGGUGGUGAACUCCAUCUAAAGCUAAAUAUUGGCGAGAGACCGAUAGCGAACAAGUACCGUGAGGGAAAGAUGAAAAGCACUUUGGAAAGAGAGUGAAACAGUACGUGAAAUUGUUGAAAGGGAAACGCUUGAAGUCAGUCGCGUCGACCGAGACUCAGCCUUGCCUCGGCUUGGCGUACUUCUCGGCUGAUGGGUCAGCAUCGAUUUCGACCCUUGGAUAAUGGUGGGGGAAAGGUGGCACCUUUACAGGUGUGUUAUAGUCCUUCAUCGGAUGUGGGGGUUGGGAUCGAGGAAUUCAGCAUGCACCUCUUGGUGUCGGGGCUUUGGCCCACGUCUACAUGCUUAGGAUGCUGGCAUAAUGGCUUUAAACGACCCGUCUUGAAACACGGACCAAGGAGUCUAACAUACCCGCGAGUGUUCGGGUGGAAAACCCGUGCGCGCAAUGAAAGUAAAAGUUGGGACCUCUGUCGUGGAGGGCACCGACGCCCGGACCAGACCUUCUGUGACGGCUCUGCGGUAGAGCGUGUAUGUUGGGACCCGAAAGAUGGUGAACUAUGCCUGAAUAGGGUGAAGCCAGAGGAAACUCUGGUGGAGGCUCGUAGCGAUUCUGACGUGCAAAUCGAUCGUCAAAUUUGGGUAUAGGGGCGAAAGACUAAUCGAA
rnacentral:rRNA from 1 species